CUUGGUCUUCUGGGCACUACCUCAAAAUCUCAGCACAAGAUGAAGGCUCUUUCUACCCUGUCAUCUACUCCAGUGGAAACUAGAACUGAUUGGAAUAUUGGGCCAGAUGACCUCUAAGGAACCUAAACAUUCUGCCUGACCUGGACCAGAGCUGAACUCCAUCAAGUAGACAUGCCAGCUGAUUGACUCUGGGGAGACUCUGGGAAGCAAAAGCAAGAGAGCCUCUCCAUAUCUCCAAAAUACCCUUCUGUCCCACCCACAUCCCCCAGGGCUUGGGAUUCU